UCUGCCCACCAAACUUGCAAUCUUACCAAGUGCCUCAGGAGACCACAGAUGCAACCUCAGAUUCGGUAACCUAAUCCAAAUUGGUGCUGACUUCAACUCUUCGAUUUCCAAGCUCAUAUCACGACUCCAUGGCUUUAAAAUAAAAGGUUUACUACCAUCAUAAAACCAUGGACCCUCACCCAAUGCCAACUCCUUGCCAUGAGCAGAUUCAAAAUCCAAGACAAAAACUCCUGACCCCUUUGAAUAUACCUUAACAUUCCCAUAUUUUCUCCACUCCGAGUCGAUUAAAUUGUUGAUAAACCUGUUGAAAGAAGGUGGACCGAAGGUUGAAUCAUGGCCAAGAAAAUAAGCAACCACAGCGUUUUCCCAUCUUUUAAACUCCGAUGCAACAUCCUCUUCAUUAACGAGGGCCAAUUCCUUUCCAUUCUUGGCCACAGGUUCUACGAAUUUCAAUUCCAUCCUCUUAUGCAAUCUGAAUAUUCAAGAAGCGUUGGAAAAUAGAAAGGCUAGACGAAAGUAGGAUCUGGAAUCAAAGAUGUGCUCCCUGCCACAUGCACAUGCAUGUAUAUAUAUAGGCACUCAGGCCGGUAGGUGUUGGCGAGUAGGAAGUAGGAAAACCAAGUACGAAGCCUAAGCUCAACGCUAACUAAUCAAAAGUACAAAGACAAAGCCUCAGUUUAACGCAAACGAGUGGAGAUGGGGAUGAUGGGAAGCAUCGAGUGAAGUGCAUGAGAUGACCGUACUCUAUCUGAGAACAAAUAAAUAAAUAAAUUAUUACUUGAUAUUCAUUCGACUUUUUGUCUCCACCUGUUUGAUGACGUAGUGCGUGACUGUUACUCUAGUACAAAACGUGAUUUUUAAAAACAUUUUUUAUUUAAAAUGUAUUAAAAUAAUUUUUAAAUUUAUUUUAUUUUAAACAUCACCCAUUACAAUUAUAAAAAAUCAUUAAAAAAAUAUUAAUUUAAUGAUUUUAUAAAGAAAAAAAAAAUUUAAAAAAUACCUAAAAGCAUUAGCAAACUCACUCCUAAUUAAAUAUACUCUAAGCGGUAUGUAAUAAUUUGUGUUUUAUUUCCUUUUGCAUAUUUUAAAAUAUUUAUUUAUUCAACACAUACUAUAGGUGUGCUUAAAUCUCACCAAAAACUCUAUAUUCAGUCUUUAAUUAAAAAAUAUAUAUAAUUUAUAACUUUUUUUAAUCUUAUAUCCAAAUAUUAGGGACUAAUUAGAUAACUUAUCCUUAAAAUCGCCCACCUUAAACAUCACUCGUCCACGUUGUCCAUUAACAAACCACUCUCCUCUGUGUCUACAUUACAGAGACAAACUGAAGCAACAACUGUGAAGUGAAAAAUGGAGAGUGAUGAUGGUGAAGUGGUGAGCAACAAGCAAGUGAUCUUCAAGGACUACGUGCCUGGUGUUCUUAAAGAGUCAGACAUGUACAUCACUACUAGUACUAUCAAACUCAAGGUCCCAGAAGAUUGUACUAACGGUGUUCUUGUAAAAAAUCUUUACUUGUCUUGCGAUCCUUACAUGAGAAUCCGAAUGAGAAACUUUCAGGGCUCUUAUUUCUCUCUCUUGAAGCCUGGUUCGGUGAGUUACCUUAUAUCCAUUUUGAGUUUUAUCACUGUUUCUCUUGCUUUUAGCAUGUUUUGAAGUAAAGAUUGCAUUUUUUAAUUUGUUUCAGCAACUGAGUUUUUGUAAUUAAUUUUGUAACAUGGUUUUGUUCUUAAUUAUACAAUGAAGCUGUAGCUUUUGUGGAUGUUUUGUGUGAAUUCACUUGCUUUGAAGUGGAUGGAAAUUAUGGAGGAUAUCUUAAUUUAUAUUUAUUUUUUAGUUUUUUAAGUUUUAUUUAUAAUUAUUUUUUUUAAUUUUUCAACACAUUUAAUUUUUAAUUUAUUUUAUUAUAUGCAUGCAUAAAUUUUUUUAUUUACACUUAAAAAAAAUUAGUUAUAAAAAUACAUUAAAAAAACUGUAUACAUAAUUUUCUUAACAUUAUUGCCAUAAUUGAAUAAACUAGUUACAUAAGUAUGUUGUAAAUUGCCAUAAUUGAAUAAACAAUUAAAAGGGAAAGAAAAGAGAAGAGAAAAGGGUUCUUAUUUUGGUUUGGGCAAAACCCAACAGCAAAGAAAACAAGAGAAAUCUAACACUCGUACAAGAGCCCAGCAAGUUAUAAUCUGAAAUUAUUAGCUAGACGACAAACCCAAAUUAAUCCUCCAUGGAAGGUGGAAAGGCCUGUAUAAGUCGAUAUAUAGAACCCAACAUGUAUAUAAUAGACCUUGAACACUAAAACUGGCAAUGAUAUAGUGUUUAGAAGAUUUUAGCAAAAUAAGAAAUUUAGCUUAUAAGUUCAUGAUCGCAGAAGUGGGAUAAAAACCAACGUCAAAGAAAGAAGAAUAAAGUAGAUUGGCAAUAUGAACAAAAUUAACUGCAAAAAGCUAAGACAACAAUAUAGGAACAUAACGAUAUAAGGAGCUUAACAAAGCAUGCCUAAGCCUAGAAACUAACUACUGAGCCAAAAAGAGAAAUAAGGAAGGGUCAAGCUUGCUGUGGAAGUCAUAAUAAUAAACUUGCUAAGGAAACAAAUACAGAUCAAAAGCGACUUUCAUAGCAGUUAGAAGAAAGUCUAUCAGUGCUCAGGUGCGUGCUUAGCAGCAAAAGAACCUGCAACAAAUGAUGAAUGUUAGUAGCUAAGAUAAGCAAGAACAUCAAAUCAAUGGAGGUGAUGCUGUGUAGGGUAAGGGAUCUAAAUUGCAUCACAUUUGUUAAACUUCAACACAAAGCAGCGUACUUUAUACAGUAACUAUUCCAAUGAAGGAGAGGCAAGAUAAUGGCGUCUCUAUUGAGCAGCCAACACCAACUCUUGACAAAAAAUUUAUAGCAGUUCUGACAUGUAUAGAUGCAUUGUAGCUCAUAUAAUUGAAUGGCAUGACUUCUGGGAACUAUAUUCAUCAACUUUCACGUUAUUUAUCCGGCUGCUCUUGUUCUAUAUAUGCAUCAGGGGGGAAAUUCAUUCACAAAGCUCAAGCUUAACAUCGAUAAAAUACUAAUCUAUUAGCAUUUCUUCUUCUUCUUUUUGUAUAUUAUAUUAUAACCCUGGCAUUUAUUAACAAUAAUAGAUGUUAAUCCAUGCUGUCCCAUUCUCCCAACUUUGCAAGAUCCAUAAAACAACAUGACAAAAUAGGCAACAAAUAAAUGACCAAGACAAAACAGGAAAAGAAAAGUAAAGAGCAACAUACAUGAAUGAGUUGAAUGACAACAAAAGAAAAGGGACCAAAGCUGGAAGCAAAACAAAAGAAAAGAAGAGGAGAAAAUGCUAGCCCAGUUUUUUUAGAGAGUCACCCCUGAAAAAUAAGCGACGAACCCCCUAAAAGAAGAAGUAUGUCAACCAUAUAUGACUGGGGAAACAUAGCAAGUGGAGCUGCUAUGAUGACUUUGGAAAAAAAUAGCAAUAAUUAAUAAUAACCUGUCUAAAACACGCAAAUUGUCAUAAAAUGCAAGAUUUGACUUGACAGUUUAGAGAAAAAAAACCAACAAAACCCAAACUAAAAGAGCCAAACAAACGAACCAAGUCAAAAAUAAACCAGAAGGAAACAGUUCUUGAGAGAUAAACAGUAACCACAAUAAGAACCCCUGUUGGAAACCAACAAUGUAAUCAACCCUACCUGAACAACACAACCUCUCCCAAAAAAAGGGACACAACAAACCUCAUAUCAACUCACCCGAGCGGCUAAAUCCAGCAUUUUGCAUAAAUUUAUUAGCUCUUGAGAACAGGCUCAGAAGGAAGGGAUGAGUUCCUGGGUAAAUAAGCCAAAAAUAUACUAUAUUAAAAUUUUAGAAAAGAAAAGGGAAAAAAACAGUCUCAUGAGACUUAUGGACGUGCUCCGAUGUUAAAAAUUUGUCCCUAUCUUGAACAAAUUGUAAUGCCUUGCUCACAAUGUACCUGCCUUAUAAAAAGAAGAAAAGGGAAAAAUAAACUGUUGCUGUGAAUAGUAACAUCAGUCAAGGGCCACAGUGUUUCAGCCUUCCAAUGAAAACCCAGCAAUGCCCCAUGACCAGAAACCAGUGCAAGCCAUCCCAUGCAAAUUCCACGAAGCCACACCCGACCACGACAAAAGAGAACCCAGACGAAGCCAGACCAAAAACAAAAACUCCAGAAUACAUCAGCAGGCUAUGUGUUUGAGAACUGUUCCAAUCCACAGUUCCUUGAGUCUUGGUGAACAGGAUGUAUGACACAUGCUUUAGCUUCUUUUUUUAAUUUUAAUAGCUGUGUUUGAGUGUUAUGAAUGCAUUCAUUACACAUGCCGAGUCCAGUCAUCAAUUACUUAGAGGGUGCUUUUUAGUAUAAUAUCAGUUGCUUUUCAAAUAAUUUUUUAUGCUAAAAUACAUGUUAUUAAUGUUUUUUUUUAUUUUUUUAAAAUUAUUUUUAACAUCAGCACAUCAAAACAAUCCAAAACAUACAAACCAUAUUAAAUUUUAACAAAAAAAAAUUAAAAUUUUUUGGGAAGGCGGUUUGCACCGCGUUCCUAAACAUGUUCUUAACGUUAUAAUUCGUAAUAUAGUUAAUUUAAGAAGAAUAUUUUUAGUUAUCAUUUAAAAAUAUAUAUUUUUAGUUAAAAUUGUUAUGUAAUGAAUUUUAAUAUGAAAAAUAUAUAAAAAUAUAAUAUUUUAAUUUCUAUAAAAUCAAGAUUUAAAAAAUAAUUAUAUAUAAAAACCAGUAUAAUAGGAAAAGCUAUUUAGCUAACCUAAUCUUUUUUUUUUAUUAUUAACGUGGAUGUCCGGGCCAGUUUGCUCACACCUUGACUAAUUUCACGGGCUCUGAAGUUAACGACCAUGUAAGUCUCUAGUGUCCAUCAUAUUAGCAAUCAUAGGGUUUAAACUUGAGAUCACAAAGGAAACAAACUCUUUAAUUUUAAAUUUUUACUACUAAAAUACCUACUAGAUGAUUUAACCUAAUCUUUGAUAUGCCCGCACAAGCAUUGUCCCUUUUGUUGAUAAUGCAAGGGCUGAGGAUAGCCCUCCACUGUAGCAAUAUAGAUGGAAAGUCGGGUGGUGAUAGCAAUCCUCAUCUUUGAGGCCAAGCCAAUUCUCUAUCAAUCCACUUGACUUCUAGCCAAAAUUUACGCCACGUGUCUAAAAAAUGGCAUGUAUUUUUAGAUUGUAUGACACCAUGAUGUUGAAUGCUGAUGACACUUUUUCUUCAUGUAUGAUUCGUUAAUUAGUCAAGUUGCACCAAGUUGCUAUAACAUGGCAAGCUCUCUUUCUUAUCUAGUUUCCAAGAUUGAGCAGUUGCUGAAGUUGUCUUUAAUAUUGUCAGCCAUGGACACAGAUGGUGGUAGUUCUAGUGAAACUGUACAGGUGAGAAACAAGAAGGUUAUGCUGAAACAUCACAUCAAUGGUUUUCCCAAAGAAUCAGACCUUCAUGUCACAACUGAAACUGUGGUGUUGAAAGUACUACAAGGUUCAAACACAGUUCUUGUCAAGGUUCUUUACUUGUCCAUUGAGCCAUAUCAGUUUAUUCGAUCAAGAAAGAUCGAAAACCCUGGUGUCUUCUCUUCCUAUCCUCCUGGCUCUGUAAGUGAUCUUAUCCUCUUUAAUUGCAUUUUCUAUGAAAUGAAGCUUGGAUCUUCUUAAUAAGAAAGAAAGAAGUGAUUCUCUUUUGACGGCCUCUGCCUUCUCCAAUCCUGAAGCUGUAGGCUAGGGUUUGAUGACAAGUGAAUUUCCCGCUGUUUUGGUCUUGGAGCUUGGAUGAGGACCAAGGUUGUCAAUUCCGUUCCGUUUCGCCCGGAAUGGCCGAAACAUUCCAUACCAAUUCAAAAAACGGAACAAAACAGAACAAAUUUCAUCUUAUUUUAAAUCUCGGUCCGUUCCGUAUUUUUCGGCCAAAUUUCACCCGAAACGUUCCGGUUUCAUUCUACAUGUUCCGUUCCGCUCUUGAAAAGUCAUUGAAUCAAAUUAAACCUUGUUCAAUUUAAUUAAUUAAACCAUCCAAUUAUAAAAAGCUCUUUUUUAUUACUAUUUUCAAUAACAAUGAUAUUGAAAAUUAUUAUUACUAUUUUCAUUAACAAUAAUAUUAAUUUUUUAAAAUUAGAUUUAUCACUAAUAUAUAUGGUUUAUAUUCAUGUUGUUUUUUUCAUGUUUAUACUUUGUAGGAAUUUGAGCAAAACAAGGGGUGUUUUAGAUUUCAUUAGCCUUGAUAACAUUGACCUAACUUUAUAUUUAAAAUAUUUGUGUUAAAACAUUUUAUUUUCAUAAUAUUUUGAUAUUUUGUUUAAGUUGAAUUACUUUAAGUUAAAACCCUAUUUAAUCUUGACUAUUUAGGAAUAUUUUAAAUUUUGAAAUUAUAUUUGUUUGGCAUUGUGUUUGUAUUGCAUAAUUUAUAAUUAAUUUAUCUUGAAUUUGAAUUAUGUUUGUUGAAUAUAUAUAUAUAUAUGAACAGUACAACCCCGAAACGGCACGCCGAAACACUCCGAAACUGAAACAUUCCAUUCCAAUUGAAAAAACGAAACACCUACCGAAACGGAAUUGACAACCUUGAUGAGGACCCUUGCUGAUCUACUUGAUCUGGUAAGCUUAGGUUAGUGGAGGUUAAUCUCGACAGGUUUCAAAGCUUCAAGCUUCGAUAUUGAAUCAAUUGAGCGCACUUCUAACACCUGUUCUACUUUUGGAAGACCCUGCGUUAUAUCACCAGAUCUCGAUUUUUCAUAUAUAAAUGUAACUAAUGUAUCUCCUUCGUAAAGGAUUUCCCCAUAAUGGCCAUGAACAGUUGCUCCUGGAGUGGUCAAAUAGGGCUUAGCCAAUCUUAAUAUUACAGAGUCGGCGUGAACAAUUAGAACUUGACCUGAUUUUAGGCGUGGUUCGUUUUUUGUCAUACAUACAUUUUCACAAAGUUUCCUGCUCGAAAACUCAUGCAGGUGAUCACCAGUUAUGGAGUGGGUAGAGUUUUUGAAUCUGGACACUCUGACUUCCAAAAGGGUGAUCUUGUUUGGGGAACAAUUGGAUGGGAAGAGUACAGUCUGAUUACUGAACCUGAAACUCUCUUUAAAAUCCAACACUCAGAUGUACCCUUAUCUUACUAUUUGGGAGUUCUUGGUAAGUUUUCAAGAAUUUGAUCAACAAACUCCUGCAAGAUUUUGGAGUACUAAAGGUGUUUUUGUGUCUUCUCCAUAGGUAUGCCUGGUUUGACAGCUUAUGUUGGUUUUUAUGAGUUCUGUGCUCCUAAGAAAGGAGAGGCUGUUUUCAUUUCCUCAGCAUUUGGUGCAGUAGGUCAGCUUGUCGGGCAGCUAGCAAAAUUGAUGGGCUGCUAUGUGGUUGGUAGUGCAGGAAGUCCAGAAAAGAUAUUUCAUUUUUCUAUACAAUUACGUGCUGAGUCCUGAUUCAUACACUUACAGAGUUGAACACGCAUGACAUUAACAUCGGGUCUGCUGGCCUGAACUUUCCAUGGAUUUUUUAUAGUGAUUUCCAACUUCUCAAGUCCUAUCAAGAGCAUAUCCAUUUGUAGCAUAACAUCAGCUUUUCUUUAACCUGAUCUUAUCAUUUGUUGUCAUGACUAGUUUUCUUUCUGUUUUGCAUUCAAGAUGACCCAGUUUCAACAAUUUGCUGUUUCUUGUUUCUAAUUUCUUAUAAGGUUGAUUAGCUGAAGAACAAGCUGGGAUUUAAUCAGGCGUUCAAUUAUAAAGAAGAGAAAAAUUUGGAUGACACCUUGAGAAGGUCAGGUUUUGCCUUUAUCUGUGCUUGAUAUUACAUGACUGUGCAUGCUUCUUGGCAUAUUGCAGUAGGUCAUCCAUCUUAUCCCUACAGAGAUAGCUUUGAAGAAUUAGGUAUAUCACACCUCAAUGCAACAAGACUUAGCUUUCAGCACGUCAAAUCUACUGGGUCAUCAAAUCUAUCCUUGAUAUGCAUGGUCUUAUGCUAUAAUAUCUCCCUGGCUUGAAAGCGUUAAGACCUUGAAUAAAAGAUUUUUGUGAUGCAUUUUGUCCUCUACUGCUUUCUGUGAUGCAGAAUCAUUUAAAAACCUGUCUACCCAACUCCAACUGGUAUUCACCAUGUUAUCAACCCUCUAUGCAUGCAGUCUGUCCCUCUAAAGAAAUUUUUGGGGUUGGGCUACCAAAAUUGUCACCUAGCAAUAAAAGAAAAGAAAUGCCAAGCUGUAUGGUUAUUGCAGCAGUUAUGAACUGACCAAUGUGAGCUUCAAAAAACUCAAUCCACAAGUUCUUGCUGUUGUUUUCGAAUCGAUUCAUUGCAGGCACUUUCCUGAAGGCAUUGACAUUUGCUUUGACAAUGUUGGGGGCAAAAUGCUUGAUGUUGUGCUACUCAACAUGAAACUUAAGGGCCGCAUUGCUCACUGUGGAAUGAUUUCGCAAUACACACUGGAUGAGCCUGAAGGCAUAAAGAACAUGAUGAACAUCAUUUAUAAGCGGCUUCGCUUGGAAGGAUUUGUUGUCACUGAUCACUAUCACCUCUUUCCCAAGUUCCUAGACUUCAUGUUGCCUUGUAUUAGAGAAGGGAAGAUUGUGUACGUGGAAGACAUAUCUGAAGCUCUUGAGAGCUGUCCAGCUGCUCUUGUAGGACUUUUUAAUAGCAGCAAUCUUGGAAAGAAAGUUGUUAUAGUUACUAGAGAAUAACAAGCCAACCAAACUGUAGCGUUCUCAUGGACCAUUGAGAAUCGUAUGUAUCCUCUCUUUCUUUAUGAGUGGUUACAAGUUAAAUAUAAUCAAUAAUGUGGUUGGAUUUUUUUUUUUUAAUGUAAAUGCUAAACUUGUAUUUCGAAAAUUACUACAUGCACAAAAUUAGGGGUGAGCAAAAAAACCGAAAAACCGAUUAAACCGAGAAAACCGAGAAAAAAAUAACCGAAAAAACCGAACCGAAAAAAAAACCGAUUAAAAUUUUUGUAAAAAUUUUCGGUUCGGUUCGGUUUCGGUUUCAGAAACCUGAAACCGGAAAAACCCCAACCGAACCAAACCGGUUUGGUUUAAGGGGUACUAUAGUAUAAAUACAAAAAAAAACGCGUUAUCUUUCUUAACCCUAGCCGUCCUUCUCCUUGCUCCUGAGCCGCUCCCUCAACUCACAAUUCACAAUUUCACAUCUGUAACAAAAUCAAUCCAUCUUCAUCUACAGGACCACAGCCAGCCACAUCCCUCUCUCACCAUCUUCAUUUUCAAACGCCAGUCAGCCACAUCCCUCUCGUCCCUUCCUCACACGGUCACACCCAACCUUGAAUCCAACUCCAGAUUUAGCAAAAAAGACACAAAAAGAAAAAGCAGGAAGGCAUUCGUCAUUUGUUGUGGGGGGUUUGUAAAGCACUCCACUCCAUGUUUUUGAAACGUUGCAGCUGCAAUUCCUUCACUAGCUAGAUCUACUUGUUUGGCUUUGGACAUUCCUUCCACUUGAAUCCACAGAGAGGAGAGGAAGCUUGGAGUUUUGCUAAGGAAGUUGCAUUUGUUUCUGGAUCCAAGCGCCAUCAUUUGAAUCCAAGGAUACAUGUUUCGCUUUAUCUUCUUCUUCGCUUUUAGCAUGUAAAUUUCUAGUUUUUUUUUUAUAAAUUAAAUUUGAUCAUUCUGUAGGAUGUCUUGUUGUUGUGGUGGUUAAUUGAGAAGCAGGCUUGUUUAGCUUAAAAAUGGAGGAACCACUAGACGACGAGGGGGCUAGAAAGGCCCCGACUUCAGAGAGACAGGUUUUCCGGUUUUUCUAUUAAAAAAACUGAACCGAACCGAACCAAAACCGGUCGGUUCGAACCGGUUUCGGUUCGAAUUUUUAAGUUUUUUAAAAUUUGAUUUUGGUUAGUUUUUUAAUUAAAAACCGAACCGAACCGGUUUUGCUCACCCCUACACAAAAUCUUUAUUUAAUAUUUAGGAGUGUUUUUCUUAAAAAAAAAAAAAACAUGGAAUGCAAAUCAUAGUUAUUCAGCCACAACUCAGCUCGACGGGUUGAUCUAAAAAUUAAUCGAUAUGAAUCUGUUUUAAACUAGCUUUGUUUGCGAACUGGAUUGAGAAUUGACACAAUCAGACUUAAAUAAAAUAGUUAAUUCAAUUAUAAAAUUUUAAAAAAAAGUUAAUUAAAAACCAUAGUUUUAGUUUUUAAAAAUUUAUUUUAAAAAAAAACUAAAAUAAUGUAAUUUUAGGAUAAAUUAGAUCAAUCUACCAACUUAUGAGUUGAUCUUUCCAAACAUCACCUGAGUACACGUCUUAUGCUCUGAAAAUGACCUAGUUAAGUCAAAUGCUCUGAAAAUGUUUUCAAGCCAACCACCAAUUUUCCAUCUCCAUUGAAUGGUAUGGCAACCACCUCAAAAUGGAGAGACUAAAAUGUAACCUAAACUCCAAAUCUCUCCACCAACUGUAAUCAGUAUUCACAUAUGGCAAGUUGUCUAUGCAAGUCAACAGAUAAAACACAAUGCUUCUCUGUCUUCUGUCACUGAGAAUGAAGCAACAGUGAACAAUGCAGAGGUCCCAGAAGGUUACUAAUGGAGUUUUUGUCAAGAUUCUCUGCUGCUCUUGUGAUCCUUGCAUGAGAAACUGAAUGAGAAACCUCCAAGGCUCAAAAAUACCUCUCUUUAAGCAUGGUAUGGCCAGUUAAGUUCGCACCCAUUUGAGUUUUUUCUUUCUUUUCCCUUUCUUUUUUGAAUUUUUGAAGUAAAGAUUGAAUCUUUUUCUCAUUUCUUGCAAAUUUGUUUGUGAUUAAGGUUUUUUGAAAGUGUUUUUGUUAGAUGGGGUUGUUUUCUAAGAUCUUGUUUCUCAUCUUUCCAAGAGGAAUUUAGAGGAAGGUGGCGAAAGAUCAAAGUUCAUUGUAUGACAUCGUCUUACACUAAUUCCACUAAGAUAUUCUAGUUCAAGCAUGGACUACACAAUAUCUGGAUUUGAUAUUCUGAAGAAACUAAGCAAUAUUCAAGGGGAGGGAGUGCAGGAAGGAACAGAAAAUUUAACAUUAUGCAAUGAAGAGUGGUGGUGAAGUAGUGAGCAACAAUGGAGAGUGAUCUUUAAAGACUACGUGGUUGGUCACCUUAAAGAUGAGACAUGAAUGUGACAACUAGGUACCAUAAAACUCAAGGUCCCAGAACCAGAAUGGAAGAAUGGGAUUCUUGUAAAGAAUUUUAUCAGGCAUUUGAUCCCUACAUGGAAGGCCUAAUGACAAACCUCCAAGGCAUUCCCAUUGAUCCAUCUAAGCCUGCUUUGAUCAGUUAUCGAAUACCCAUAUGAAUUUUCUCUCUGUUUCUAUUGCCUUUCAAGUAAAAAUUUGGAUUCUGUACGCCGUUUAGUGACAAGGGAUUGAUUUUAAUGCUACUUUGAAGUGAAACUAUUGGAUUCUUAUGCAAGUCUUGUGUCAAAUUACAGGACUGAAAUGGCUAAGAGUCAAGAAGGUGGUAAUUUUAAAGAGUCUAGAUGAAUUCAUGUUGUAGAAUGAUUGGGUUUCUUAUGUGUGGUUACUGAAUUAAUUGGUGACACUUGGAUGCUUGAAAUCAUGCAAAUGCAGCCUACGGGGUGGGCGAGGAGUUGCUAAAUGAUUGGAUUCAAGACAUACAAAUUUCAAGAACAAUAUAAUCUUAUUACAGAAACACAGACACUAAUUCAUGACCAAGAUGUGCCUUAAUCUAUUUUUAAGGUUCUGUUUAUGAAAUUCAGAACACUGUUUUGAGAUAACAAAUAGGUUUGAAAAAUAAUUCCUUAUUUUCUUUUCGAAAAUUUUCAAAAUCAAAUUAUUGUGCUUGGAGAUUGGUAAAUUGAAAUUUAUUCAGCAGGAAGCGCUGAACCAAAUGCUGGAGUAGACAAAGAAGUCCUUGCAUCAUCAUCUGAACUGUUAGCACCAGGAGCAGUUGUACUAAACAGAGUGGAACCAAAUGUUGAAGCAGGAGUUGAACCAAAUGCUGGAGUGGACGAAAAGUUUGCACCAAAUGCUGGGGCUUCAUCACCAAACAUUGCAGGAGUUGAACCGAAUGCUGUCUUAGACGAAGUAUUUGCAGCACCUUGUGCUGUCCCAAACAGAAUCCUGGGAGGGCCACAGCUUCGCUUACAGCAGAAACGUCCAUAUUCCUUGCAGCACGAGCAUGGGAAAGUCGUUUUGCGUCUUGGACAAGAAUCAGAAUGCCCAAGGUGCAGACAAUAGGAGCAUCUAGAUGUGGGCUGCCAUUCAUACUCAACCUUUUGAUCAUAGCUGUAGCCCUUGUCAUCCUCAAUGGUGACUGAAUCAGGUAACAUCUUAUCAAAAUCCACUUCGACACAAACUCUUGCAAAGCACAAUGUCUCUCUUGAUGCUGUUACCGUAUCAGCAAACAAUGGUCUGCCCACCAAACUUGCAAUCUUACUAAGUGCCUCAGGAGACCACAGAUGCAACCUCAGAUUCGGUAACUUAAUCCAAACCGGUGCUGACUUCAACUCUUUGAUUUCCAAGCUCAGAUCACGACUCCAUGGCUUUAAAAUAAAAGGUUUACUACCAUCAUAAAACCUUGGACCCUCACCCAAUGCCAACACCUUGCCAUGCGCAGAUUCAAAAUCCAAGACAAAAACUCCUGACCCUUGUGAAUAUACCUUAACAUUCCCAUAUUUUCUCCACUCCGAGUCGAUUAAACUGUUGAUAAACCUGUUGAAAGAAGUUGGACCGAAGGUUGAAUCAUGGCCAAGAAAAUAAGCAACCACAGCGUUUUCCCAUCUUUUAAACUCCGACGCAACAUCCUCUCCAUUAACGAGAGCCAAUUCCUUUCCAUUCUUGGCCACAGGUUCUACGAACUUCAAUUCCAUCCUCUUAUGCAAUCUGAAAGUUCAAGUAGCGUUGGACAGGACAAGACAGAAGGGAUAAUAAGAUGUUUGAUUGAUGUUUCAGGACAAGAGAAGGGAUGAUGCACAUGUAUAUAUAGGAACUCAGGUCGGUAGGUGUUGGCGAGUAGGAAAACCAAAGCACAAAGCCUAAGCUCAA
rnacentral:lncRNA from 1 species